rnacentral:rRNA from 1 species
UAGAUGCGAGAGUAGAGCAUAUCAAUAAGCGGAGGAAAAGUGCGUCCGGUGGUACCUACGCUUAGGAUGUUGACGAGACUGUCGAUCUCAUCUAUACAUGACUCUGCUGCAUAUCAAUAAGCGGAGGAAAAGCUGUUACCUACGCUUAGGAUGUUGACGAGACUGUCGAUCUCAUCUAUACAUGACUCUGCGCAUAUCAAUAAGCGGAGGAAAAGAAACUAACAAGGAUUCCCUUAGUAACGGCGAGUGAAGCGGGAAGAGCUCAAAUUUGAAAUCUUCAAGGUUUUACCUUGACGAAUUAUAGUUUAAAGAAGUGUUUUCUGCUGAAGUUUUGGUAAAAGUUCUUUGGAAUAGGACAUCAUAGAGGGUGAGAAUCCCGUAUUUGACCAUUAUUUUCAGCUUUGUGAUACACUUUCAAAGAGUCGGAUUGUUUGGGAAUGCAGUCCAAAAUGGGUGGUAAAUUUCAUCUAAAGCUAAAUAUUGGCGAGAGACCGAUAGCGAACAAGUACCGUGAGGGAAAGAUGAAAAGAACUUUGAAAAGAGAGUUAAACAGUACGUGAAAUUGUCAAAAGGGAAGCGUUUGACACCAGUGUUGUUUUCUCGAAAAUCAAUUAAAAAUGGCUCGAUUUUGUAUUGCUUGAGACCUUAAAAGCUCACUGUACAUUUUUCGUGUCUUUUUUAAUGCACUUUUCGUUUAACAAGUCAACAUCAGUUUCUUUUGUUGUAAAAGGGUCAUUGGAAGGUGGCUUUCUUUUCGGAGAAAGUGUUUAUAGCCUUUGGCCUCUGCAAUCGGAGAGACUGAGGUCUGCAGCGUAGACUCUUCGGGGUUAGAUACAUUUGUGCUAAGUUAUAGCUUUUUGUAGACAACUUGUUGACUAUAAUUAGUCUUGUAGCUUACUCGCUUAUGCUAUUUUACCUACGCUUAGGAUGUUGAAGAUGUAGCACAUCAU